GCCAAUCAGCUAGCUCACCAAACCCCAGUAACCAAAAUAACAAUGUAAAUACCCCCCCACAAACCAAACAACCAAAAACUAAACCAUUCAACCACCCCAGUACGGGAGACGAAAAAGGAUAUACCGUAGCCA
rnacentral:rRNA from 1 species